rnacentral:tRNA from 1 species
GCCUGGGUGGCUUAGUUGGUUAAGUGUCUGACUUUGGUUCAGGUCAUGAUCUCAUGGUUCGUGGGUUCAAGCCCCGCAUGGGGCU